GAUGAACGCUAGCGGGAGGCCUAACACAUGCAAGCCGAGCGGUAUUGUUUCUUCGGAAAUGAGAGAGCGGCGUACGGGUGCGGAACACGUGUGUAACCUGCCUUUAUCUGGGGGAUAACCUUUCGAAAGGAAGAUUAAUACUCCAUAAUAUAUUGAACGGCAUCGUUUAAUAUUGAAAGCACCGGCGGAUAGAGAUGGGCACGCGCAAGAUUAGCUAGUUGGUGAGGUAACGGCUCACCAAGGCGAUGAUCUUUAGGGGCCUGAGAGGGUGAUCCCCCACACUGGUACUGAGACACGGACCAGACUCCUACGGGAGGCAGCAGUGAGGAAUAUUGGUCAAUGGGUGCAAGCCUGAACCAGCCAUCCCGCGUGAAGGACGACUGCCCUAUGGGUUGUAAAC
rnacentral:rRNA from 1 species